rnacentral:rRNA from 1 species
UACAGAGGUCUCAAGCGUUGUUCGGAUUCAUUGGGCGUAAAGGGUGCGUAGGCGGCGCGGUAAGUCGGGUGUGAAAUCUCGGAGCUUAACUCCGAAACUGCAUUCGAUACUGCCGUGCUUGAGGACUGGAGAGGAGAAUGGAAUUCCCGGUGUAGCGGUGAAAUGCGCAGAUAUCAGGAGGAACACCGGUGGCGAAGGCGGGUCUCUGGGCAACAACUGACGCUGAGGAGCGAAAGCGUGGGGAGCGAACAGG